rnacentral:rRNA from 1 species
GAUGAACGCUAGCGGCAGGCCUAACACAUGCAAGUCGAGGGGCAGCACGUCUUCGGAUGGUGGCGACCGGCGCACGGGUGCGUAACGCGUAUGCAACCUACCUCUUACAGUGGGAUAGCCCAGAGAAAUUUGGAUUAAUACCGCAUAGUAUACAGAUUCAGCAUUGGGACUGUAUUAAACAUUUAUGGGUAAGAGAUGGGCAUGCGUUCUAUUAGUUAGUUGGAGUGGUAACGGCACCCCAAGACAGCGAUAGAUAGGGGCCCUGAGAGGGGGAUCCCCCACACUGGUACUGAGACACGGACCAGACUCCUACGGGAGGCAGCAGUGAGGAAUAUUGGACAAUGGGCGAGAGCCUGAUCCA